AAGUCGUAACAAGGUAACCGUAGGUGAACCUGCGGUUGGAUCAUUAAAAAUCUUAACAGCCUCUCACUGGCUUCGAGCAAGAUCUUGCGGAAAGCCGUGAAUGUUGGCACCACAUUUUGUGCACCGUAACGUCUUUGGUGGUUGGGCGGUCUGUCUUUUUGUGACUUUCUCGUCUGUCAGCUUGGAUUUAUCAUAAUCUUUGCCGUGGACACGCCACCGUUUGUCUUCAACUUAUGUUUUCAUGGAUUGUCUGACAAAUUCUUGUAUCAAAAAUAUACAAACAACUUUUGGCAACGGAUCUCUUGGUUCUC
rnacentral:misc_RNA from 1 species